GAUGAACGCUGGCGGCGUGCCUAAUACAUGCAAGUCGAGCGAAUGGAUUAAGAGCUUGCUCUUAUGAAGUUAGCGGCGGACGGGUGAGUAACACGUGGGUAACCUGCCCAUAAGACUGGGAUAACUCCGGGAAACCGGGGCUAAUACCGGAUAACAUUUUGAACCGCAUGGCUCGAAAUUGAAAGGCGGCUUCGGCUGUCACUUAUGGAUGGACCCGCGUCGCAUUAGCUGGUUGGUGAGGUAACGGCUCACCAAGGCAACGAUGCGUAGCCGGCCUGAGAGGGUGAUCGGCAAAACGGGGACUGGAACAAGGCCCAGAAUCCUACGGGAGGCAGCAGUAGGGAAGCUUCCGGAAUGGACGAAAGUCUGACGGAGCAACGCCGCGUGAGUGAUGAAGGCUUUCGGGUCGUAAAACUCUGUUGUUAGGGAAGAACAAGUGCUAGUUGAAUAAGCUGGCACCUUGACGGUACCUAACCAGAAAGCCACGGCUAACUACGUGCCAGCAGCCGCGGUAA
rnacentral:rRNA from 1 species